GUUGCCACGGCGCGCCCCUCCCAACUCUCAUCGCCACACCGCCCCGCAAGAUGGGAUCCGCCAUGUCAAGAAGGUGCUCCCUCGAAUCCCAUCUCUUCUACAGUUUUUAAAUUAAAUCAAUCAACGCAGCUUCUUAGUUGACACAUCCCACGCCUCUAUCUCGAUUGGUUGGUUCUCAACUGAAUCUCAAAAUUUGGACCGACCACUAUCAAUCACACAACUGAUCCUGAUGCAUCAGAUCUCAUGAAGUAAAUCUCGAUGGUGGUGUGGCCUGCAGCUUAACACAUGUUUGUAUUUUGCAUCUCACUCUGCAACUUACUAAUUUCGUUUGUUUCUUUUUAGGGGGAGAAGGAGCGAAUACAUUAAUCAGGUGCAGGUUCGAAUGACUGGCCAUUAACUAGACUACAUUUACUCUCUGUGGGAGAGUUCCAGUUUAAUUUGCAAUUCCAACAUGAUCCGUACGUUCAUUGUUUCAUGAUGUAUAGUUUUAGCUUCCAGAAACUCGCAUCACUUUCGCCUAGUACUUACGAAGCAAAAUGACAUAUCUAUGUGGGUUUUUACUUUAUUGGUUCUGGCUUCACAUGACUUUGUGCAACUAACAAGGCAUAUUUUUUGGUCCACCACUAAUGGCUAUUGCUAUUAUUUUCAUGGAUGUUUGCUUACUUUAGCUUGGUAGAUGCUCAGUAUUUGUCUUACUUGUACCAUUUUGGGAAGUGCUUAUGCAUCUUAAUUAGGCAUGAGUAAGAUCAGAACAAGCCAAGUUAUGUACAUUUUGAAAAAAGAUCCAAACUAGAUAUAGUUUUCCGCUCAGUUUGAUCCAGUACACCUGGUCCGGCAAAUUGUGGUUCGCCAACCUAUCUGAUAUAGCCUUGAAACAUUCUGAUUUUACACAAGUCAGCUAGGGCAUAGGGAAAUGCAUGUUAGUAUUUGACAAUGGAGGAUGCAACUCACUGUUGAAUCAACAAAUUGACCAGAUCAACGCCCUGUUACACACAGCUGCCCUAUACGUAACCCCUCAAAGAAACAAAAAAAAGUUGUAUCUCUCUCCCCAGAUACGGCGCAUCCAUGGCUCCUGAUGGGGAUAACUUCUGACAUUGAUACUUACCGGACAUCUGGGUGAUGCCGCUCGCUACAAACCAAAGUCCCCCCUGCCCCCAUCGGAAGAUGCAUCCAAUACCACUACCAUGCAGCCAUAGAUUGAUUCCUUCCUGCGCUGGCAGGCUAGAUGUUCAAGGAGGUAGCAGAGGUGCAGCCGUGUGUGCAUCCUCUUCCAUGGACGACACCUGGUACAGUGGUACCCCAUGAUCCUCCUUCCAAUUGAUUUUUUUAUUGUCAAUUUGUGUUUGCCCCCAAACAUUUUUUUCCUUCUUCAAUAAGUACAACUCCUAUGAGCGAUUGAUCAGAGCUCUAAUUUCGGGUGUUGGUUGACUUCACCUUGUUAUGUAUAAGAAUGGAUGAUGGGAUUCAUGUUUUUGUACAUAUCACCAAGGAUCUAGUAUGAUAAUAUUAAUACUUCUACAUAGUAUUACCUCACCUUCCAUACCAUUGUCCACUUGUUUUGUGCUACUAUCCAAUUGGGGCACGUUUAUUUUGUUGCCAUGUCACGUAAGAGUAUAAUAUACUUCUGAUAUCUCCGAGAGUGUAUAUAAAGACAAUAAAUUUUGUAGUAUGUUAAGGUGAUCAAAGUUUCUCUGUGUUACCUUUAUACAUGACAACAGAUUAUAAUGCUGUCAAAUUUAUGUGGGCUAUAACCAAACAAAACAUUGUAAUUUCUUUCUGGCAGCAGUUUCGCUGGUCACUUUUAUACAGAUUGUAAUAAUAUCAAACUGAUGUGGGCUUUAACCAAACCACAGAUAGUAUUUUUUUUUGUUCGCACAUUAACUGGUCAUUUUCAUACAGAUUAUAAUAUUGUUAAAUCGACGUGGGCUAUAACCAAACACCAUUGUGAUUUUUUUUCUAUCAGCAAACAACUAGUAAGUUUUUCAUUGCAUUGACACUAUCAUAAGAGAGAAUGUUUUCUUACUGUUUGCAGAUAUUUGAGGAUUUAAAAUUAUGGAAAUGUUCAGCAGAUGCUCUUUUGCAAGUGAAAAGAAUACAUUUUUAUAAGGAGCAAUCAAUAUGGGGCCAAUACAAGGUGUGUGAUUUAUCCAUGUUCCAACCUUUUUUUGCGGACAAAGAUGGUUCAGAAUAAUGUAGUCAUCAUCUGUUUGACAGAUAAGCUGCAUUAUCUCUAUCAGCUGGCUCAAACUUCUUUGUUGUGUCAUCCCCACUAGAGUGUAGAGUUUCUAUUGGACGGAAGAUUACUAGUGUCGACAAGCAUAACCAGUCAAUCCUAAGAAGUCUUAGUUCUAUAGAGAAGAAACACACAAAUUAUAACUAUUCUUUGUGAAAUCAAUGUAUAUUUCUUAUUUAAAAUUAUCUAGCUCUGCUUCUCUAUAUUUCCCUUCACCUUUUCUGAUGCUAAUGUGCUCUUAUUGCAGGAUUUAGAGGACAAAACUAAUUAUAUGGACAGAUUAUAACAGGUUUUAUAUCGGAAAUAAUCUUGAAACAUGCAAGGGAAAUCUUCACAUUUUUCUAGAAGCCAUAUCCAUAAAAGCUGUGAAAGCCAUCAAGCUGAUGUACCAAACUAGCUAUAGAAUUUUUAGAUAGAUUUCCACUGAGAAUUUCCAUUUUUUUUCUCAAAUUGGUUUCAACUUUCAGAUAGUUAGAAUUAGAAUUAGAAGUUUAUUUUCUACUGACAUACACAUUAUUGUAUGAACCUAUAGUUCACUUGUAAAGUAUCAAUACCCUUUGUAAUAAAAAUAGUUGUAAUGGCUUGCACAUUGCUACUUGUUUUGCGGUUGUGAUUAUGAGAAACUUUUU
rnacentral:lncRNA from 1 species